UACGGAGGAUCCAAGCGUUAUCCGGAUUCAUUGGGUUUAAAGGGUGCGUAGGCGGAUUGAUAAGUCAGCGGUGAAAUCCCUCGGCUUAACUGAGGAACUGCCGUUGAUACUGUCAAUCUUGAGUACAUUUGAUGUGGGCGGAAUGUGUCAUGUAGCGGUGAAAUGCUUAGAUAUGACACAGAACACCGAUUGCGAAGGCAGCUCACAAAACUGUAACUGACGCUGAGGCACGAAAGCGUGGGUAUCAAACAGG
rnacentral:rRNA from 1 species